UGAGACACGGUCCAAACUCCUACGGGAGGCAGCAGUGAGGAAUAUUGGUCAAUGGGCGAUGGCCUGAACCAGCCAAGUAGCGUGAAGGAUGACUGCCCUAUGGGUUGUAAACUUCUUUUAUAAAGGAAUAAAGUCGGGUAUGCAUACCCGUUUGCAUGUACUUUAUGAAUAAGGAUCGGCUAACUCCGUGCCAGCAGCCGCGGUAAUACGGAGGAUCCGAGCGUUAUCCGGAUUUAUUGGGUUUAAAGGGAGCGUAGAUGGAUGUUUAAGUCAGUUGUGAAAGUUUGCGGCUCAACCGUAAAAUUGCAGUUGAUACUGGAUGUCUUGAGUGCAGUUGAGGCAGGCGGAAUUCGUGGUGUAGCGGUGAAAUGCUUAGAUAUCACGAAGAACUCCGAUUGCGAAGGCAGCCUGCUAAGCUGCAACUGACAUUGAGGCUCGAAAGUGUGGGUAUCAAACAGGAUUAGAUACCCUGGUAGUCCACACGGUAAACGAUGAAUACUCGCUGUUUGCGAUAUACGGCAAGCGGCCAAGCGAAAGCGUUAAGUAUUCCACCUGGGGAGUACGCCGGCAACGGUGAAACUCAAAGGAAUUGACGGGGGCCCGCACAAGCGGAGGAACAUGUGGUUUAAUUCGAUGAUACGCGAGGAACCUUACCCGGGCUUAAAUUGCACUCGAAUGAUCCGGAAACGGUUCAGCUAGCAAUAGCGAGUGUGAAGGUGCUGCAUGGUUGUCGUCAGCUCGUGCCGUGAGGUGUCGGCUUAAGUGCCAUAACGAGCGCAACCCUUGUUGUCAGUUACUAACAGGUGAUGCUGAGGACUCUGACAAGACUGCCAUCGUAAGAUGUGAGGAAGGUGGGGAUGACGUCAAAUCAGCACGGCCCUUACGUCCGGGGCUACACACGUGUUACAAUGGGGGGUACAGAGGGCCGCUACCACGCGAGUGGAUGCCAAUCCCUAAAACCCCUCUCAGUUCGGACUGGAGUCUGCAACCCGACUCCACGAAGCUGGAUUCGCUAGUAAUCGCGCAUCAGCCACGGCGCGGUGAAUACGUUCCCGGGCCUUGUACACACCGCCCGUCAAGCCAUGGGAGCCGGGGGUACCUGAAGUGCGUAACCGCGAGGAUCGUCCUAGGGUAAAACUGGUGACUGGGGCUAAGUCGUAACAAGGUAGCCGUACCGGAAGGUGCGGCUG
rnacentral:rRNA from 1 species